GACAGAGGGUGCAAACGUUGUUCGGAAUUACUGGGCGUAAAGCGCGUGUAGGCGGCCAUCUAAGUCGGGCGUGAAAUCCCACGGCUCAACCGUGGAAGUGCACUCGAAACUGGAUGGCUAGAGUCCUGGAGAGGAAGGUGGAAUGCUUGGUGUAGAGGUGAAAUUCGUAGAUAUCAAGCGGAGCACCGGUGGCGAAGGCGGCCUUCUGGACAGUGACUGACGCUGAGACGCGAAAGCGUGGGGAGCAAACAGG
rnacentral:rRNA from 1 species